AACCCAUGGUGAGGGCACAUUCUCAAUAAAUCUUUAUACCUCUCACAUGCAUCGUAUAAGGUCUCUAAAUCCAUCUGUACAAAGGAAGAGAUAUCAUUCCUUAAUUU
rnacentral:snoRNA from 1 species